AGUGAACGCUGGCGGUAGGCCUAACACAUGCAAGUCGAACGGCAGCACAGUAAGAGCUUGCUCUUACGGUUGGCGAUUGGCGGACGGGGGAGGAAUACAUCGGAAUCUACUUUUUCGUGGGGGAUAACGUAGGGAAACUUACGCUAAUACCGCAUACGACCUACGGGGGAAAGCAGGGGAUCUUCGGACCUUGCGCGAUUGAAUGAGCCGAUGUCGGAUUAGCUAGUUGGCGGGGUAAAGGCCCACCAAGGCGACGAUCCGUAGCUGGUCUGAGAGGAUGAUCAGCCACACUGGAACUGAGACACGGUCCAGACUCCUACGGGAGGCAGCAGUGGGGAAUAUUGGACAAUGGGCGCAAGCCUGAUCCAGCCAUACCGCGUGGGUGAAGAAGGCCUUCGGGUUGUAAAGCCCUUUUGUUGGGAAAGAAAAGCAGCAGGUUAAUACCCCGCUGUUCUGACGGUACCCAAAGAAUAAGCACCGGCUAACUUCGUG
rnacentral:rRNA from 1 species